rnacentral:rRNA from 1 species
UACAGAGGGUGCGAGCGUUGUCCGGAAUCACUGGGCGUAAAGGGCGCGCAGGCGGCUGCUCAAGUCAGGCGUGAAAGGCCUGGGCUCAACCCGGGAAUUGCGCUUGAGACUGGGCUGGCUUGAGUGCGGGAGAGGAUGGUGGAAUUCCCAGUGUAGAGGUGAAAUUCGUAGAUAUUGGGAAGAACACCGGUGGCGAAGGCGGCCAUCUGGACCGCAACUGACGCUGAGGCGCGAAAGCGUGGGGAGCAAACAGG